rnacentral:lncRNA from 1 species
AGUAAUCUAGAGGUGAUUUAAAGUCUACGGAAGGAUGUGCAUAGGUUAUAUGCAAAUACUAUGCCAUAUUAUAUCAGAGCAUCUGUGAAUUUUGGUAUCUCUGGGGUCCUGGAACCAAUAUCCUGAGGUUUCUAAGGGACAACUGUAUUCAAUUUCUUCUCUGGUUAUUAGUCUAUUCUCUAAUGUAUUUUUGUUGUUGUUUUGUCUUUUUGUUUUUGCCUCUUCAAGUCAAUGUCGGAAACUUAGUUGUUUUAGACAACCCAUUAGCUCAGAGCUACCAGUAAGCAGACUACCACUGCAAUCUAAGCAACGGAUUUUUUCCCCCAUCAGACUGGCAAAAAAUAAGCAUCUAUUGAUGUUGAAAUUGUAGGGAGUUUUCCUGAGCAUGUUAAUUAUGACAGCCCUUUUUGCUAGGCACCUACACAAUUCAUCAAAAUGAAAUAAAACACCCAUGCACUUGAAGAAGUUAUCUGGUUAUUUCCUUAUCUGGGUGCUGGUUAUGUGAGGUCUACAGUUAAUGAACACUUAUUAAGCUUUAUAUUUCUAAUAGGUACAAUUUUCUGCAUGUGUAGUAGAUUUCAAUAGUUUUUAAAAUGUCUUUUGCCGCAGCCCGCAGCUGUGUAUAAUGCUAUUCGCUUAACAGUGGAAAACAUGGCAAUGACCUGAAUCCCCCUGGCUCCCGGGAUCCUACCCCCUUAAGUUAAACAAAUGAAAUAACUUCCACUGUCUUUCCUAAUGUCUUAAUUCGGUCCUCAGUUAAACUGGCGGUGGGCGCUGCUUUUUUUCCAGGGAAGGAUUCUGGAAGACAUAGGAGGAGACGCCAGCAUUUCGCCCUCCAGCACCUCCUGCGGGCUGUGGUCCGCUUCCGGCCUCACUCGAGCAGACCCCGCCCUCCCAGAGGCCGUUUGUCCAAGUCACGUGAUCGUCGAAUCUGUUGACCUGGCGCCACCGGAAAAAGAAAUUCCCGGGCCCUGGCUUCUUGGCCUGAUGGUGAGGCACCAGAGGCACUGCUAGCCUUGAAGCCUCCAGCCUGCUGGAUGCCUCCAUCCCCGGCUAUGCUGUGGCUCUCCUCAUUCUAGGCCUCCUGCUCGUCACAUUCACCCUUGUCCUGGUGCUAAAGUGGAGGGCCUCCCAUGGGGUGUUCAGCCUGGGUGUGUAGAAGCACACAGUGUGGUACAGAGGACCCUCUCCAGACAGCUGCCUCCCACCAACCCUAGAAAUGAUGCUGGGAGCUGACAGAAACUGAACUUAGGAGCACAGGAGGCCAGGAGACCUGGGACAGAGAACAGGAGGUGACCCCUCAUGCUGCUGCUCCCUCUGCUGAAACCCAAACUGCAAACCUCUCCUCUCCCUGCCUUCACCUUGCCCCACGGCUUCCACAGACAGUGCCUCAACCCCGAGGAAUGAAUCCGAAGUUCCAACACCACUGACUUUCCCAGGAACUCAGAGCCAGAGAGGGCCAAGGACCAGCUCGAGGACACACAGCCAGGGCUUCUUCCCUCCGAAACCCCCAAGGACUGGACUUGCAGGGCUGGGACAGAGGUGGGGUGGGGGAAAGCAAUGCCUUGUCAACCCACGUGGGGAGCCCCACUCCCAUCCCCAAGGUGCAUAAAGUUGAGGAACACCCCUGCU